UUGCAUUUGCAACUUGGCAUAUUGAAGAAAUGCAUUUCUUAGCAUCAUUGGCCCUUUUAAUUGCCUCGGCACUUUUAGUUGGGACAUCAAAAAUUAAUACAUGUGACAUAGCAUGUGUGCAGAAUGGUCUCCCCGUAUGCGGGUAUUUUGUAGCUCCAGGCAUACAGAACAUGAAGAUAUGUACUUUUGGCAAUAGCUGUUUAUUGGAAUUACACAAAUGUCGAACCAAAGAAAAUUGGAUAAGUCAGCCGGGGAAAUGCACCUCGGAAAUCGGUUGUAGAAAUGUUAGAAUAGGAUAAUGGAUAAUGGAAUGCUACAAUUCUGAUAAACUAAACUUCUAGUAUAAAUAAACCAAAAACUUAUUCACUAUAAA